UAGAGUUUGAUCCUGGCUCAGGAUGAACGCUGGCGGCGUGCCUAAUACAUGCAAGUCGAGCGAUGAGGCUCCUUCGGGAGUACAUCAGCGGCGAACGGGUGAGUAACACGUGGGUGACUUGCCCCGAAGAUGGGGAUAACCUCUGGAAACGGGGGCUAAUACCCAAUGUGCUCGGUGAUUCGGUUCAUCGAGUAAAGCUCCGGCGCUUCGGGAGAGGCCUGCGGCCCAUCAGCUAGUUGGUAGGGUAACGGCCUACCAAGGCAGAGACGGGUAGGGGGCGUGAGAGCGCGGACCCCCACACUGGCACUGAGAUACGGGCCAGACUCCUACGGGAGGCAGCAGUAAGGGAUAUUGCGCAAUGGACGAAAGUCAGACGCAGCGACGCCGCGUGGGCGAUGAAGGCCUUCGGGUUGUAAAGCCCUUUUAUGGGGGAAGAGAAAAAGGACGGUACCCCAGGAAUAAGUCCCGGCUAACUACGUGCCAGCAGCCGCGGUAAAACGUAGGGGACAAGCGUUAUCCGGAUUCACUGGGCGUAAAGAGCGUUGAGGCGGUUCCGUAAGUUGGGCGUGAAAGCUCCGGGCUUAACUCGGAGAUGUCGUUCAAUACUGCGGGGCUUGAGGACAGCAGAGGAAGGUGGAAUUCCCGGUGUAGUGGUGAAAUGCGUAGAUAUCGGGAGGAACACCCGUGGCGAAAGCGGCCUUCUGGGCUGUUCCUGACGCUGAACGCGAAAGCUAGGGGAGCGAACGGGAUUAGAUACCCCGGUAGUCCUAGCUGUAAACGAUGGAUGCUGGUGUGGGGGGUGCAAAUUCCCUCUGUGCCGAAGCAAACGCGUUAAGCAUCCCGCCUGGGGACUAC
rnacentral:rRNA from 1 species